rnacentral:rRNA from 1 species
CCAUGACGUAUAGAUUGACAGUUAGAGACUUCUCUUGAUCUUACGGGUGGUGGUGCAUGGCCGUUUUUAGUCCUUGGAGUGAUUUGUCUGCUUAAUUGCGAUAACGGACGAGACCUUAACCUGCUAAAUAGGGCUGCGAGCAUCUGCUCGGGUGCUCUUCUUAGAGGGACUAUGGGUAUCAAACCCAUGGAAGUUUGAGGCAACAACAGGUCUGUGAUGCCCUUAGACGUUCUGGGCCGCACGCGCGCUACACUGACGGAGCCAGCAAGUCCAACCUUGGUCGAGAGGCCCGGGUAAUCUCGUGAAACUCCGUCGUGCUGGGGAUAGAGCAUUGUAAUUUUUGCUCUAAACCAAAGGAAUAAAA